rnacentral:rRNA from 1 species
AGAGUUUGAUCCUGGCUCAGGACGAACGCUGGCGGCGUGGAUUAGGCAUGCAAGUCGAACGCCCCCUUCGGGGGGAGUGGCAAACGGGUGAGUAACAAGUUGGUAUCUGACUCCAUCUUUGGCAUAACUCGUCGAAAGAUGAGCUAAUUCCAAAUAGUCCCUGCCUCGUGCAGGGUAAAGAUUUAUCGGAUGGAGAGGAGCCUACUUCCCAUCAGCUUGUUGGCAGGGUAAUGGCCUACCAAGGCGAUGACGGGUAGCUGGUCUGAGAAGACGACCAGUCACACUGGGACUGAGACACUGCCCAGACUCCUACGGGAGGCUGCAGUCAAGAAUCUUCCUCAAUGGGCGAAAGCCUGAAGGAGCGACGCCGCGUGACCGAUGAAGCCCUUCGGGGUGUAAAGGUCUUUUCUGGAAGAAGAAACCUUUUGGUUGACGGUAUUCCAGGAAUAAGCCACGGCUAACCUCGUGCCAGCAGCCGCGGUAAUACGAGGGUGGCAAGCGUUGUCCGGAAUCAUUGGGCGUAAAGCGUCUGUAGGCGCCCGGUCAAGUUUCUCGUUAAAUCCCAAUGCUCAACAUUGGGCCUACGGGAAAAACUGGUCGGGUUGAGGACGGGAGAGGUAGACGGAACUCACGGUGUAGCAGUGAAAUGCGUUAAUAUCGUGGGGAACACCAAUAGCGAAGGCUGUCUACUGGCCCUUUCCUGACGCUGAGAGACGAAAGCGUGGGUAGCGAAUGGGAUUAGAUACCCCAGUAGUCCACGCCGUAAACGAUGGAUACUAGACACAAGAAGAUUCGACCCUUUUUGUGUCGAAGCUAACGCGUUAAGUAUCCCGCCUGGGGAGUACGGCCGCAAGGCUAAAACUCAAAGGAAUUGACGGGGACCCGCACAAGCGGU